rfam:Chelonia mydas contig215273, whole genome shotgun sequence.
CCAACGGCUCUUUUAAGAGCCACCCACAAGUUUCAAAAAAAGAGCA